GGAGCGGUAGUUCAGUUGGUUAGAAUACCUGCCUBBBGGGGUCGCGGGUUCGAGUCCCGUCCGUUCCGCCA
rnacentral:tRNA from 1 species